rnacentral:rRNA from 1 species
CCUACGGGUGGCAGCAGUGGGGAAUAUUGGACAAUGGGCGAAAGCCUGAUCCAGCCAUGCCGCGUGUGUGAAGAAGGCCUUCGGGUUGUAAAGCACUUUCAGUGGGGAAGAAAGCCUUGGGGCUAAUACCCUCGAGGAAGGACAUCACCCACAGAAGAAGCACCGGCUAACUCCGUGCCAGCAGCCGCGGUAAUACGGAGGGUGCGAGCGUUAAUCGGAAUUACUGGGCGUAAAGCGCGCGUAGGCGGUCUGAUAAGCCGGUUGUGAAAGCCCCGGGCUCAACCUGGGAACGGCAUCCGGAACUGGCAGGCUAGAGUGCAGGAGAGGAAGGUAGAAUUCCCGGUGUAGCGGUGAAAUGCGUAGAGAUCGGGAGGAAUACCAGUGGCGAAGGCGGCCUUCUGGACUGACACUGACGCUGAGGUGCGAAAGCGUGGGUAGCAAACAGGAUUAGAUACCCGUGUAGUC